rnacentral:rRNA from 1 species
UAGGAAUCUUCCCCAAUGGGCGAAAGCCUGACGCAGCAACGCCGCGUGCGGGAUGAAGGCCUUCGGGUUGUAAACCUCUUUUAUCAGGGAAGAAGCGAAAGUGACGGUACCUGAAGAAAAAGCACCGGCUCACUACGUGCCAGCAGCAGCGGUAAUACGUAGGGAGCAAGCGUUAUCCGGAAUUAUUGGGCGUACAGCGUCCGUAGGUGGUUGUUCGAGUCUGCUGUUAAAGCGUGCGGCUUAACUGC